AUUGAACGCUGGCGGCAGGCCUAACACAUGCAAGUCGAACGAGUGGCGGACGGGUGAGUAAUGUCUGGGAAACUGCCCGAUGGAGGGGGAUAACUACUGGAAACGGUAGCUAAUACCGCAUACCAUCGGAUGUGCCCAGAUUGGAUUAGCUAGUAGGUGGGGUAAAGGCUCACCUAGGCGACGAUCCCUAGCUGGUCUGAGAGGAUGACCAGCCCAGCUGGAACUGAGACACGGUCCAGACUCGUACGGAGGGCAGCAGUGGGGAAUAUUGCACAAUGGGCGCAAGCCUGAUGCAGCCAUGCCGCGUGUAUGAAAAAGGCCUUCGGUUUGUAAAGUACUUUCAGCGGGGAGGCGUUACCCGCAAAAGAAGCACCGGCUAACUCCUUGCCCGCGGCCGCGGUAUAC
rnacentral:rRNA from 1 species